rnacentral:lncRNA from 1 species
AGACCGCCACGGUGACUUGCAAGCAACUCACUGCACUUAGGCACUGGACUACUUGAAUUUUUAAUUCAGUGACGGAAGGCUGCUGGGUGUAGUCAAGUACUUGACUUGUCGGUGCGUGUGUCAAGAUGGGAUUGACCACUCCAGUUUAGGAGCUGUGUACAGUCAUAUUUCAAUUUAGCAAAACCUUGGCCAGGGUAGUCCUUGUGAGGAGUCACAGGACUGUUUGAGUUG